rnacentral:lncRNA from 1 species
GACAUUGGUUGCACCAGGCUGAACUGAAGAGAGAAGCGGUGAAUUUCCUUGCUCCCAACCUGUGAUCCGCCUAUUCAACUACAGGUCUCUGUGGGUGCUGGUGCCUGUGCCUCCAUAAAGUUGCAUUAGAUCCUGCUAGAGUUCACAGAGGAGAUUCACAAGUGUACAAGUAUUUGUCAGCAACAAGAGCCUCUCCAGAUCAAGAUCACUUGUUGUCUAGAGGAGCACACACGUGCCAGUUCCUAGGGCUGUGUGAUGAUAAGAGUUGUCACCGGGUUAUUAGCUGUUGGAGAUGCUGCAGCUGAACAAGGUGCAGCUGAACAAGGCAAGAGGAACCCAAGCCUGGGAGACCUAUCCACGGAUCAUGUUUCCAAUGAGAAAUUACAGAAGAAUUAUUGCUGUGGUGGAGAUUUCAAGACUUCCAAAGGGUGAGCACGAAAGAGGUAGAGAAAAAAAAGUGCUUUUUAAAAUUUUUUUAAGGCUUUGUAAAAGUUUUCAAGUUUUUUUUUGUUUUGUUUUGUUUUUGCUUUCUGUUUUUUGGACAGGCAGAGUGGACAGUGAGAGAGAGAGAGAGAGAGACAGAGAGAGAGAUCUUCCUUUUCCAUUGGUUCACCUCCCAAUGGCCACUGUGGCUGGCGCGCUGCGGCCGACACACUAUGCUGAUCCGAAGCAGGAGCCAGGUGCUUCUGGUCUCCCAUGUAGGUGCAGAGCCCAAGGACUUGGGCCAUCCUCCACUGCACUCCCGGGCCACAGCAGAGAGCUGGACAGGAAGAGGAGCAACUGGAACAGAAUCCGGCGACCGGGACUAGAACCUGGUGUGCCAGCGCCACAGGUGGAGGAUUAG